GGGAUAAGCUCAAAUUUUAAAUCGGUUAGGUUCUACCUGAUUCGAGUUGUAAUUUGAAGAUUCGUUAUCUGCGUUCGGGUCGACCCAAGUCCUUUGGGAUAAGGCAUCAUGGAGGGUGAGAAUCCCGUUCGGUUGACCUUAGGACGCUUUACGAUACGUUUUC
rnacentral:rRNA from 1 species